rnacentral:rRNA from 1 species
ACGAACGCUGGCGGCGCGCCUAACACAUGCAAGUCGAACGGAGCUUAGAGAGCUUGCUUUUUAAGCUUAGUGGCGAACGGGUGAGUAACGCGUGAGUAACCUGCCCUAGAGUGGGGGACAACAGUUGGAAACGACUGCUAAUACCGCAUAAGCCCACGGUACCGCAUGGCACUGAGGGAAAAGGAUUUAUUCGCUUUAGGAUGGACUCGCGUCCAAUUAGCUAGUUGGUGAGGUAACGGCCCACCAAGGCGACGAUUGGUAGCCGGACUGAGAGGUUGAACGGCCACAUUGGGACUGAGACACGGCCCAGACUCCUACGGGAGGCAGCAGUGGGGGAUAUUGCACAAUGGGGGAAACCCUGAUGCAGCGACGCCGCGUGGAGGAAGAAGGUUUUCGGAUUGUAAACUCCUGUCGUUAGGGACGAUAAUGACGGUACCUAACAAGAAAGCACCGGCUAACUACGUGCCAGCAGCCGCGGUAAAACGUAGGGUGCAAGCGUUGUCCGGAAUUACUGGGUGUAAAGGGAGCGCAGGCGGGAAGACAAGUUGGAAGUGAAAACCAUGGGCUCAACCCAUGAAUUGCUUUCAAAACUGUUUUUCUUGAGUAGUGCAGAGGUAGAUGGAAUUCCCGGUGUAGCGGUGGAAUGCGUAGAUAUCGGGAGGAACACCAGUGGCGAAGGCGGUCUACUGGGCACCAACUGACGCUGAGGCUCGAAAGCAUGGGUAGCAAACAGGAUUAGAUACCCUGGUAGUCCAUGCCGUAAACGAUGAUUACUAGGUGUUGGGGGAUUGACCCCCUCAGUGCCGCAGUUAACACAAUAAGUAAUCCACCUGGGGAGUACGACCGCAAGGUUGAAACUCAAAGGAAUUGACGGGGGCCCGCACAAGCAGUGGAGUAUGUGGUUUAAUUCGAAGCAACGCGAAGAACCUUACCAGGUCUUGACAUCCGAUGCAUAGCACAGAGAUGUGUGAAAUCCUUCGGGACAUCGAGACAGGUGGUGCAUGGUUGUCGUCAGCUCGUGUCGUGAGAUGUUGGGUUAAGUCCCGCAACGAGCGCAACCCUUAUUGCCAGUUACUACGUUAAGAGGCCUCUGGCGAGACUGCCGUUGACAAAACGGAGGAAGGUGGGGAUGACGUCAAAUCAUCAUGCCCUUUAUGACCUGGGCUACACACGUACUACAAUGGCUAUAACAAAGAGAAGCGAGACCGCGAGGUGGAGCAAAACUCAAAAAAGUAGUCUCAGUUCGGAUUGUAGACUGAAAUUCGUCUACAUGAAGCUGGAAUUGCUAGUAAUGGCAGGUCAGCAUACUGCCGUGAAUACGUUCCCGGGCCUUGUACACACCGCCCGUCACACCAUGAGAGUUGGGGAUACCCGAAGCCUGUGAGCCAACAGUUAAAUGAGGCAGCAGUCGAAGGUAGAAUCAAUGAUUGGGGUG